rnacentral:rRNA from 1 species
AUUGAACGCUGGCGGCAUGCCUAACACAUGCAAGUCGAACGGGGUAGCAAUACCCAGCGGCGGACGGGUGAGGAAUACAUAGGAAUUUGCCUUUAGGUGGGGGAUAGCCCGGGGAAACUCGGAGUAAUACCGCAUGAUGUCGAAAGACCAAAGCAGGGGAUCGCAAGACCUUGCGCCCUUAGAGAAGCCUAUGUCUGAUUAGCUAGUUGGUAGGGUAAUGGCCUACCAAGGCGACGAUCAGUAACUGGUCUGAGAGGACGAUCAGUCACACCGGAACUGAGACACGGUCCGGACUCCGUACGGGAGGCAGCA